GGGGAUUUAGCUCAGCGGUAGAGCGCUUGCCUAGCGUGCGCAAGGCCCUGGGUUCGGUUCCCAGCUCCG
rfam:Rattus norvegicus chromosome X, whole genome shotgun sequence.